rnacentral:rRNA from 1 species
GUUNCUUCNAAAAGGAUUUAANGCCCAUGGCNAUGGUGGUAAAGUAUGAAANUAAAUUCCGNACUGGGGAAAAAUGNNGAAUGGCUCAUUAAAUCAGUUAUAGUUUGGUUUGAUGGUACCUGCUACUNGGAUAACCGUAGUAAUUCNAGAGCUAAUAACGUGCAACAAACCCCGACUUCUGGAAGGGAUGCAUUUUAUUAGAUAAAAGGUCAACGCGGGCUCUGCCCGUAGCUCUGAUGAUUCAUAAUAACUCGACGGAUCGCACGGCCUUUGCGCCGGCGACGCAUCAUUCAAAUUUCUGCCCUAUCAACUUUCGAUGGUAGGUUAUGCGCCUACCCAUGGUUGUAAACGGGUAACGGGGAAUCAGGGUUCGAUUCCGGAGAGGGAGCCUGAGAAACGGCUACCACAUCCAAGGAAGGCAGCAGGCACGCAAAUUACCCACUCCCGGCACGGGGAGGUAGUGACGAAAAAUANCAAUACGGGACUCUUAUGAGGCCCCGUAAUUGGAAUGAGUACAAUNCUAAAUCCUUUAACGAGGAUCUAUUGGAGGGCAAGUCUGGU